GGCUCAGGACGAACGCUGGCGGCGUGCCUAAUACAUGCAAGUCGAGCGAAUGACGAGAAGCUUGCUUCUCUGAUUUAGCGGCGGACGGGUGAGUAACACGUGGGCAACCUGCCCUACAGAUCGGGAUAACUCAGGGAAACCUGGGCUAAUACCGGAUAAUCCUUCGAAUCACAUGUUUUGAAGUUGAAAGGCGCUUCGGCGUCACUGUAGGAUGGGCCCGCGGUGCAUUAGCUAGUUGGUGGGGUAACGGCCUACCAAGGCAACGAUGCAUAGCCGACCUGAGAGGGUGAUCGGCCACAUUGGGACUGAGACACGGCCCAAACUCCUACGGGAGGCAGCAGUAGGGAAUCUUCCACAAUGGACGAAAGUCUGAUGGAGCAACGCCGCGUGAGUGAUGAAGGUUUUCGGAUCGUAAAACUCUGUUGUAAGGGAAGAACAAGUACGUUAGGAAAUGAACGUACCUUGACGGUACCUUAUUAGAAAGCCACGGCUAACUACGUGCCAGCAGCCGCGGUAAUACGUAGGUGGCAAGCGUUGUCCGGAUUUAUUGGGCGUAAAGCGCGCGCAGGUGGUUUCUUAAGUCUGAUGUGAAAGCCCACGGCUCAACCGUGGAGGGUCAUUGGAAACUGGGGAACUUGAGUGCAGAAGAGGAUAGUGGAAUUCCAAGUGUAGCGGUGAAAUGCGUAGAGAUUUGGAGGAACACCAGUGGCGAAGGCGACUGUCUGGUCUGUAACUGACACUGAGGCGCGAAAGCGUGGGGAGCAAACAGGAUUAGAUACCCUGGUAGUCCACGCCGUAAACGAUGAGUGCUAAGUGUUAGGGGGUUUCCGCCCCUUAGUGCUGCAGCUAA
rnacentral:rRNA from 1 species